rnacentral:rRNA from 1 species
UACGAAGGGGGCUAGCGUUGUUCGGAAUUACUGGGCGUAAAGCGCACGUAGGCGGAUAUUUAAGUCAGGGGUGAAAUCCCGGGGCUCAACCCCGGAACUGCCUUUGAUACUGGGUAUCUCGAGUCCGAGAGAGGUGAGUGGAAUUCCGAGUGUAGAGGUGAAAUUCGUAGAUAUUAGGAAGAACACCAGUGGCGAAGGCGGCUCACUGGUCCGGUACUGACGCUGAGGUGCGAAAGCGUGGGGAGCAAACAGG